CGGGGUAUAGCGCAGCUUGGUAGCGCGCUUCGUUCGGGACGAAGAGGCCGGGGGUUCAAAUCCCCCUACCCCGACCA
rnacentral:tRNA from 3 species